AGUUAAGUAAGAAAGGGCGUACGGCGGAUGCCUGGGCCAUAUCAGCCGACGAAGGACGCGAUAAGCUGCGAAAAGCUGCGGGGAGGUGCAAGUAACCGGAGAGCCGCAGAUAUCCGAAUGGGGAAACCCGGCAGUAGGAGUACUGUCACCUCUCGGACGAGAGGAGGGCACCCGGUGAACUGAAACAUCUAAGUAGCCGGAGGAAAAGGAAUCAACAGAGAUGCCCCCAGUAGCGGCGAGCGAAAAGGGCGGAGCCCAAACCGGGGCGGGAAACCGCGCCGGGGUAGAGGACUACCGAAAGACAGCAGGAUGAAGUCGAAGCAGGUGGGAACCUGCGCCGCAGACGGUGAGAGCCCGGUAGACGUAAAGAGAGCUGAGGGGUAGGAUCCGGAGUACCACGGGGCACGAGGAACCUUGUGGGAAGCAGGGGGGACCACCCUCCAAGGCGAAAUACUGAUAUGGACCGAUAGCGCAGAGUACCGUGAGGGAACGGUGAAAAGAACCCCGGGAGGGGAAUGAAGAGAACCUGAAACCGUAUGUCUACAAGCAGUCGAAGCACGAUGCAGGUGCGACGGCGUGCCUAUUGAAGAAUGAACCGGCGAGUUAUUUUUUUCGGCGAGGUUAAGCGGCAGACGCGGAGCCGAAGCGAAAGCGAGUCUGAAGAGGGCGCGAAGUCGAAAGGAAUAGACCCGAAACCACAGUGAUCUAUCCAUGCCCAGGUUGAAGCACAGGUAAAAAUGUGUGGAGGACCGAACCAGUGAGC
rnacentral:ncRNA from 1 species